rnacentral:lncRNA from 1 species
GGGGGCCUUCUGGUCUCGUUGAGCUUGCGAGAGGCUGGCAUUAAAAAUUGAGGUUCGUUCUUCCCAACUCAAGAAUGGUGACGGUGAGGCCUGCAGAUCCAGGAGAAACAGCAAAAUUAGCGUCUUUCUAGAAAAGUGUUGUGAGCAGAACCAAGUUGGGCUCAGUACCACAUUUUGGCACAGCCAGCCAGGAACCUGCUGCUCAUGGCCAGCCAGCCUGGUUUGGGGAAUUUUCGGGGAGAAGAGGAGGGUUCCACUUGGUUCCUAAAAUUGCCAAAGCCUCAGCCCAGAGUUCAGCCCGGUUGAUUGAUGCCAAGGCAAAAAAGUAUUCUUUUAAUGCUCCCAGGAAACAUCCUGACCAGGCCCAGCUGUGAAGGACUACGGGAAGGAAGACAAGAACACACCCUCUCCCAAGGCGGACCUGGACCAGCAAGAACAGGCGCGCGAUCCUCCACGCAGCAUGGAAGUGUGUCCUUACUGUAAGAAGCCGUUUAAGCGCUUGAAGUCCCACUUGCCGCACUGUAAGAUGCUACGACCACCUGUGCCUGCUGAUCAGGAUGUUUGUCAGUCCAAGCCGGCUGCACUCCCACAUGCUAAGAAAGUCAAAGGGCCGGUCAGAGACCCAAUUAAAGCUAGAGAGAGAGAGUUAGGGACAGACCACGAAAAAAGAAAUCCUGGCCUGAAAGGGGACAAGUCAGAGCGGACAGGUAAGUCCUCUCUGCUGCUAGCCAUUGAUUUGAAAAAAGCAAGUAGCGCAAAGGCUGAUAAAGACAUCAGGGAUCAAGUUCAGCCCUCCCUCAAGAUGUUAAAAAACACUGCAACAGAGAUCACUUUCCACGAAGAACCUACAGCCCCGUUUUCUGCAUCCGAGAACAUCACUCACAAAAAAGGACUUCCUGAAGAUUUGCCUAAAUCAGGGGAAGGUCGAAAUAACCCUUCAGAAACUGAGGCAUCUUUAUUUCUUGGCCCAGUGGAACCUUCUUUGUCAAGUCAAGAUAGAAAAUACUGUUCAGCUUUCCCUAAUGAUGUGCAAACCACUUGUGCUAACUUAAGAUUGGACAGAAUUGAUGCCCCAAGACAGAACCUUCGUGUAAAAUUGCAAACUGUUCCUUUCGGGGAUCAUCACAGUUCUCCAGGGGAUCUCGAUUGCGAUGGUAGGAGAGUAAGCACAUCAUGGCCAAGCAGGGUGAGAGUGCCCAAGGCCGGGGAGCCCCUCUCAGGAGUUGCUACUGAUCUUGGUGACACCAGAACUCAGGAAAAGAACACAGAACCACGAAUUGCAGCUUUUAAAGUUAGCCCAUUAGGUGCCAUCCAAGUCAGGGAGAACCAGGACCAAGGACUUAACCUUGCAACAGAGGCACAGGGGAGCAGUGGAAAUGCGGAGAACUGUGUCUUUGUGACAGAAAUACAGCGCUGGGCUCCCUUGAAUGAUGACCCUAAGAAGGCCUUUAGUAUCAAUGAUUCAGUCACGGCGAAGAACCCUCGCGGGGAAGGUCCCAAUAUAGACUUGAUCACGCCGCAGGAGACAGCUUGCAGGGAGCUUCUCUCUGCGUCACAGUCACGCAAUCCAAGUCUUGUCUCCCUGGCAAUACAAUUUCUCCAGGAAGGGAAGGCAGAAGCCUGCAGCCCUGCCGGCAAAGCAUCAGCAGAGCAUGAGGAGCAAGCUUCUCUGGCUCCCAGCUCGGGCUGUCGGCCCCAAGCAUUGCACCCCGGGGGCCAGCUGUCUCUGUGUUCAGCCCAGCCUCAUGCUGCUAAAAACCCCUUGGCCAGGAAGACCCUAUCAAGUGCCCUGGGGCUGGAGUGGUUUCCAGAGCUCUAUCCUGGCUAUCUUGGACUCGGUGUAUUGCCAGGGAAGCCUCAGCUUUGGAGCGCAGUGGCCCAGAAGCCUCUGCUCAUCAGCCCCCAGGGGGAAAGGCUUUCCCAAGUUCCUUUGUUGGAAAGAAGUUCGACGGCAGUAAGGAGUUUGGAACCCUCGACCGAGCUCACAGCCUCCAGCUUCUCUCUAUUGAGGAUCUUGGGAGCUGUCCAGAAAGGCUGGAUCAGGUGCAGCACCACUAUGAAGAGCGGGGUCGGAGGCAUCACGAUGCUCUUCGCAGGGUACUUCGUCCUUUGUUGUAGCUGGAGCUUCAAGCAUCUGAAGCUGCAGCGCUGGCGUAAGCAGCACUGACCUGGACACCACUUAGAGAGCUUUGGCGCCCCAAGAAGAGGAUGGUGGAGACAGCGGCAGUGCCUCUUGAACAGCGCAAAAUUGUAUGGGGGCAGGGAGAGGGAGCGAAAGGAAUAAACUAUUGGAA